rnacentral:tRNA from 1 species
GUAGGCAUAGUUAAAUUUAUGACGGCAGGCUGUGACUCUGCAAUUAGAGGUUAAAAUCCUCUUGCCCACC